GUGUCAGCCGCCGCGGUAAUACCGGCAGCCCGAGUGAUGGCCGAUCUUAUUAGGCCUAAAGCGUCCGUAGCUGGCCGCGCAAGUCUGUCGGGAAAUCCACCCGCUCAACGGGUGGGCGUCCGGCGGAAACUGUGCGGCUUGGGACAGGAAGGCUCGAGGGGUACGUUCGGGGUAGGAGUGAAAUCCUGUAAUCCUGGACGGACCGCCGGUGGCGAAAGCGCCUCAGGAGAACGGAUCCGACAGUGAGGGACGAAAGCUAGGGUCUCGAACCGG
rnacentral:rRNA from 1 species